rnacentral:rRNA from 1 species
UACGUAGGGGGCGAGCGUUGUCCGGAUUUAUUGGGCGUAAAGAGCUCGUAGGCGGUUUGGUAAGUUGGAUGUGAAAUCUCCAGGCUCAACUUGGAGGGGUCAUUCGAUACUGCCAUGACUAGAGUUCGGUAGGGGAGUGUGGAAUUCCUGGUGUAGCGGUGAAAUGCGCAGAUAUCAGGAAGAACACCCGUGGCUAAGGCGGCUCUCUAGUACGGUACUGACGCUGAGACGCGAAAGCGUGGGGAGCAAACAGG